UUACGGCCGUAUUACGUUGAAACAUCGGUCCCCGUACGAUCACCGAAGUUAAGCAAAAUCGAACCUUGUCAGUACCUAGUUGGGUAACCGCUUGCAAAUAUCAGGUACCGUAAU